UUCGUCCCACCUUCGCUAGUUUUUUUUCGUAGAUUUUUUUCGUCCCCUUCCCCCACUUCAUCGGUUUAUAUCAGGUAAUAAUUCUUGGGCUUUCUUUGGUAGGUGCUCAUUUAAUUUUGGGUAACUAAGGAUUCAAAAAUCACAUCAUGAUUUGCUUACCUUCUUACGUGAGAUCACCUUCCCACCAAAAACCAAAUUGGUUUCCCAUUUGAUUUUUAUAUCCAUAAUAUUUACCGAAUUACGGAUUAAAUAUUUGCAUUAUCUCUAUUCCUAAUGUCUGAGUUGGUAGGAUUGCGUCCACGAUUUAUUUUCGUCUAGUUAUAUUUCGUUUAGUUUAUUUUCGUCCAGUUUAUUUCCGUCUCACAUCCCACCACCAUAUCUCCUUGAUUUUUUUUACCUUCACAAUAAAAACUUACCUAACUUUUUCGAAGUUUCCUAACUAGACACGUUAUAAAUAGGCAGGAACAGAUAGCACGUUACCAAUUAAUAAAAUUUAGUUUUAUGACAAUCAAUUUCAAAUCCUAAUUUUCCUAAUGCAUUGACCUUUGCCUUCUCUAAGAACCAAUCAACAAGAAAAAAACGCUUCGCACCUAGCGAGCCAGCCGCUUCUCUUCUCGAUUAACAAUCUUUUGCUAGGUGUUCAAAAAAAAAACAAUCUUGCGCUAGGGUUCCUUGUGUUGUGUCGCCGCCGCGGCGCUCCUCGACCAGCCCGUCCCCUGCCGCCUUGCCCCUCUCUCUUCCCUCCAGCCUAGACGCCGGCGAUGAGGCGCACAAUGCCCCCACGGCCAUGCUCGAUCGCCUCCAGAACCCUCCGCGCGCGUCGAGGCGAGGCACCUCCUGGGCUCCGUCCGUCACCGCUUCGCCGACGACCCGCACGCGUCUGUCACCGCUUCACCGACGACCCCGCCGCCGGGCAGGAGGAGUGCUUCGGCGCCUCAUCGGCUCCGUCCGUCGCCGCUUCGCGGACGACCCCCACGCGUCUGUCGCCGCUUCGCCGACGACCCCGCCGCCUGGCACGAGGAGUGCUUCGGCGCCUCAUGGGCUCCGUCUGUCACCGCUUCGACGACGACCCCCACGUGUCGGUCGCCGCUUCGCCGACGACCCCGCCGCUGGGCAGGAGGAGUGCUUCGGCGCAUCAUUGGCUCCGUCCGUCGCCGAUUCACCAACGACCCCCACGCCGGGCAGGAGUAGUGCUUCUGUGCCUUCAACCUCAGCCUCCGCGAUGUCGUACUCUACGCCCACCUGCAAGGUCCCCCGCCCCGAAUCCCCCUGGUCCUUCCCAGCAAAUGGAUUUGCUAAAAUUCGAUUGUUCAUCCGGCCUUCAAUGAUGAAUCAAACCUUCUGUAGCUGAAGAAUCCUUUCCACUAAUUUAGGAAGGACUGGAGCUUGCACUUGAGCUUGCAGUCUGAAUUUUCUUCAGGUGAUUGACGUGAUUUCAUUUGGAGAAGCACAUGUUAGGCUGCAGACACCAAUUUUUUAAUUGCUGCUUAUUCCUUGUGGUAUUAUAAAGUUCAGGGUGAUAACCAUCGAGAACAAAGAGCCAAAUAUGACUCUUUUUUCAACUUCUCUAGGAUAAUAUGCAGAUUAACUUUCGAUGAGUGCUAUUCCAAGAAGAGAAAAAGGGUUUUGCCAGAAUGGGACUCGUUUUUUCCAAGCUAAAUGUUUCUUGUAGUCAACUUGAUUCAGCAACUGGCUACUAUUUCAGUUUGAAGAGGAUGCUUUUGUUUCAACUUUAAGAAUGACCAUUGGAUUUUGCUUCAUGAGGUCAACCUUGCACCUCCAGAGACUCUUCAGAGAACUGGUGUUGUACUGGACGGAGAGAAGGGCAUGUUGUGCCUUGCUGAAAUGGGUGAUGUUGAUUAUAUUGAAAGCCAUGCAUGAAUCCGACAACGGAUUCUGGGAAAAGAGAGUUGUCAUACAAUCUUAGGAGCAGAAUUGUGGAAUGCUUUGUUCAUGAUCUCAUGGAUGAUGAUGAUCUACGUAUUUUGGCCAAUAAAUAUUUGGAUGGUCUGCAUACUGCUAAAGGAGUUACAACUGAGCACUGUACUUGGAGAACAUCGCCAUGGUAUUUUCUGUACAAACUCAUCCAAGCUUUUUCUUCUUCUCACGUAGCUUCUUGAUUCUUAUUGAUAGAAAAAUCACCAAGGUAUUUUCUGUAAAAACUCAUCCAAACUUACAUACAUAGAUGACUGGAUGGAUUAGCCACCUCUGUAGCAAUUUCCAAGGUACGAUUAUAAUCUCAUAAUGAUCUGUUAAAUCAGUGUGGGUGUCAUCCUGUUUAUAUAUAAAUGCACACCACUUGCAGCUAUAUAACUCUAUAGUAUGAAGACAUAAAAAGACGAGUGUCUUCUGUUGAUGUUUUACAAACCAUCUUCGAUCACAUCUUAAUAUUAUGUAUUUCAUAAUAGCUUAAUAAUAGUAACUGUUGAACAUUUGACUGCCACAUGGAUGAUGUUUUACAAUUUUCUUUUUGCAUAUUACCAAAAAAUGUAUCGGAGCCCUAUUUGCAAUGGACUAACAUAAGCACACGACACAUAAAUAACAGAUGCUAGCAACAUUGGUAUAUGUUGGCAUUGAAGAAUUACAAUUGUGUUGGUUAUUUUUCACCUUUUGUUUGUUCAUGUAGUCAUUGAAGAAUUUAGAUGACUAUUAUGCAGCUCAAUAUAUUCGUGUCCAAGGCUACGAGUCGUCUGCUGAUGCAUGGUCCUGCCUUCCUUGGCAUAUCUGAUGUUUUUUUUCAUUCAUAUACAACAAAAGGAAAGGAACGCUCUUGAGGCUUGCUCUCUUAGUGUGAAGGUUUGUUAGUUUUCUUGUAGAUCUGCAGUGGCAUGCUCUAGCCAUAUCGUUUCUGUCCUUCUUAUGUGCUUGUAAUUUGAAGGAAGUCUUAGUGUCGCAACAGUGAUUUCUCUAAUUUUGUAUUUUGCUAAAACACGUUAGAUGGAAAAUUCAAAAUGAUCCUUCUAAAUUUUAGUGGCAUGCUCUAGCCAUAUCACUUCUGUCACUUCAAUUCACAUUGAGUUAAACUGAAUAAUCAGCUUCACCAUCUAAGUUUGCUUUCUUCUUUGUGUCGUAGGAAAAUACAUUCAUUGCUCACACACUUACAGGUUGCUUCUUCAAAAUUGCAUAAACUGGAUAGCCGGGGAAGCUCGCUUCCUCUUGCACAUGUGUACGGUCUGCGCUAUGAUGUACGCCCGUGAAAAUGACAAAUCCGAGAAGGUUCACUAAAUGUUUAUGAAUUGUGGUGUCAUCGCUCUUGUUUCCUCUUGUGUUCAUAUGAUCGAAGAGUUUUUGGCUGAUGAGUUGUGUAGGGUCAAUGCGAGGAAACAAACUUAGUGUGCCUUAUAAGGUCCAACGCGGUGAUCGGAUAACUCUAGCAAGCAUUGAACAUUGAUGUAUCAGGAACAACAGAGACUACUCAAAGUCAGAUCGGAUGAAUGCUCACGCUUUGUGUACAAAGUAGUAUGUGUAGCAUGUUAUUGUUUCCCUUUCUCCUUUUUACUGUCCAAUGAAAUAUUAUGUGGUGUGGCCUCACAAUGUGUCAUUCCCGAAGCUAUCUGCAAACAAUGUUGUAAUCUGAUGUGUUUUAUUCUUUCAACUUAUCAAGUUUCUAAGUACGCACAUCUACAGCUCAAAAUCCACCAUGUAUAGUUCAGCUGAAUUUGCCAUCGACAUCUACAGGUAAGCAUAUGCUCGAUUGCUUGCAUUACAGUUUCAGUGAAGUCCUCGCAGUAUUUGUCACCUGAAAGAAGAUUAAUUCAUUGGCAUUUCAGUGUCUUCAAUUUUCUCAUGUUCAGUUUUUGCGAACCCGUGUAGAUGAAUUUUUGUUUGCCCGUACUACAUUGUAUUCUUGCCUGUAGCUUGGCUAUCUGCGUGUAAAGGAGAAACUGCUUGGCGUCAUCUCCCUUUUAAUAUUCACCGCGUCUCCCCAAGACGCACACUGCUCGACGGCUGCUGCGACGCACUCCCUGUUCCUCAUAGUGGGCCUGCCGGAGGCCGUGCUCUGCUCUGGACACUUGAAUUGAUACACAAAAAGUCAUUUUGGUGGAUGGGUGCAUUGGAGCCCUAUAUUUUGAAUAGUAUCAAAAUGAUAUUUUGAAGUUUCAAAAAAUUCCAGAAACAAUUCCACAUGUUCAUAUGGAUGUAUGUUACACAUGUGCAAAUUCUGAUGACGAAAUAAAUAACCAUCUGAGUUACAAACAAAUGAUAAGAUCGUGAUUUUUGAAAGAUGAACAAUGCAUGUAUUAUUCACUAUUUAGAUAGUCAUUUUGUCAUUUUUGCGUAGCUUACAUGUUUACUUAUUUCAUCACUAAACUUUACACGUGUAAUACCCAUAUUAUCAUGUAGAAUUAUUUUCAGGAUUUUUUGAAAUUUUAAAUGUGGUUCUUAAAUUAUUUAAAAUAAAGCCCUCCAAUGCACCCAUGUUCCAAAAAUUCACUCUACACUGAUACAUUGCAUUGUAAAACACUAUAUGUUGUUUACAGUGAAAGAGAGCCAAGGAAGAGCAAUUUAAUCUCUAUUGGGCGGCUGAAUUAAUAUUUUUUCUUAAAAUUUAAUAUACCGAUUUUAUGUUUUCCUGAAUGCAUUGGCGGCGGUUUGUAUAUUCUUGCAGGUAUAUUUUCUAUUAGUUUCAGUGAAAUCAAUAAUUUCUGUGUACCACUAUAAAGAUGGUGGCGAAGAGGCCAUUACUGAGGGGAACGGUGCCAGAUGCAUUAUCAGUGCCACUGGAUGCAAUGAAGGUGCUCAGACCUACAUCAGUGUUGAAUAACGUGGGGAGCUGGAGAAACAUGACAAUGGUGUUGCUUCAUCUUCAUGUUAUCAGGUGAGUUAAAAAAAUCAAACAUGUCAAGUACUGUUGUGUUUGGACUAACCUUUUCACUCUAGAAUCUAGAUCUCAAUCACCAUGGUUAUUUCUGAUCCAAGGACAUAAAACUGGUCUAAUAUGUAUUUUGGCAUUUGUGUUUUUACAAUUUUUGUAAAACAACAGAUGGGAAACAAAAGGGGGAUACGUAUAUUUGGGAUUCCCCAUAGUUGUCGUUUGUUCUUUGAUUGUUUAAAUCCUCCAUAGAAGUUCAGGAACUUCUGUUGAUGUGUUCGCUCUAUAUCUAUUUAUCACUGGAUUGUUUUUGGCUA